UCACGGUGUAAUUUCCUGUUCAGCCAGCAGUGGGUGAGAGCGAGCAACCCUCUGAGGAGAUAACAGUGUCGUCUGCUUCAAAGUGUCUUUGAACGCUUCACUGCUGCCAGCGUUUGUUUCUUGCGUGAUGGACGCCGAUGGAUAAAGACAUCGAUUUUCAUUCGUGAAAGAAAAAUUGUUCAGGUCAUGUUUCCGAAGUCACGAAGAGGUGACGGAGGGCUUGGAUUGCGGCUAUUCGAAGACCAAAUAUGACGUUCCAGAACACUCCAGCUCACAUGUUUGUCUGCUCCAAGCAUUUCCACAAAGAAGAGUCAGCGUGAUCCCUCUGCCUGAUAUCAGGACACUAAUGCGUCUUCAGUCUGGGAAUGUGACCAGUGUAAGUGUGGGCUCCUGCUCAUGUUAAAAAAAAGUUUUCAAACCCCUAGACCCUGUUACAAGCACACUGAACAAAAUAUGCAGGGCUGUACCCUAACUUUGUUGGUUUAUAGCUCCGGUGCUACAAAGGUUGCUCGUUUUGUAGCGCAGACCAAAAAGUAGUAGCACAAGCAUUAAUUGUGAUAUUUUUUUCACAUGAUCUAACAUUAUCUCUUUUAAAUAUCUUGUUUCCACGACAUAAGGAUUGUCUUAUAUACUUUUUUGUUGCUGUUUCUGAGCAGUAAUGAAAAAAUAAAAGUUGUGCCUUCGCAUAGUAAAUCAGCCAUAGAAAGUCCUUUUCCCACCUGCUCUUGUGUGACGCCUGAUUGCUGACUGAUGCCUGAUUGCUCUUCAUGCAUAUGGUACAAACACACGCCACAUAUUCCUUUUGGAGUGAAGAUCCUCUGACAAGACGCCCAGCUUAAUGUUUCCGGGUGGAACGCCCCACUGUCAAGUUUCAAAAGAAACACGCCAGUGGAAAGCAACGGAGGUGGUCUGACAUGGGCGUAACUUUGUGCUGAACACUGGGGGACUCAAGAUCUCUGUCUAAAUGAAGAGAUUUGUUUUAAACGCCAGAGGAUCACCAGCAUUUUUGCUUGUUGGCUCUCCACUGCUGUAUUCAGAAUCAGAAUACUUUAUUAAUCCCUAAGGAAAUUAUUUCCAGAUGGCAAAAAUGCCACAUGGUGUCUCUGCUUAUUUAUGUAUAUAUUCAAUCAUUUACGUCACUGUAUUGACACCAAUAAACUAUACCAACAAGUAUACCUGCAUGACCUCGUAGAGCUAAACCUUGCUGAGCUAAGUAUUUGAUGAAGCCCACAAUCUUCAAUAAUCCAUACCUUGCUUCUUCCUGUUGUCUGGCAACAGCCGAAGAAAGCUGUGAAGCUACAGUGUUCCCUUUUUGAGCACAGAUGUUCAUGGCAUGGAUGUGUACCUGACUUUCUGCAUCCUGAGAACCUGAAGAUCGCCUAGUUCCAAUUUCUAAAGCCUACACUCACAAAGGCAGGCUCACACUUGCUUGCAAAUGUUGACUGAUUUGAAUAAACUUUGGCACAGUGAAAACACAGCACCCCUUGUGGCACUGUAAUGCAACCCGGGAAAAGUUGUGAACCAUUUUUGUUGAAAAGACAACACACAUUUAGCUCGCUUCUGCACUACUAUAAGCUCAGGAUCAGGUUGUGCAGGCUUCGUCCAGUUGAGGAUGUCUAAACAUCAAAUCCUUCUCUGUCCCUGUCAUCUGUGUGACUGGUUCCUGACAUGGGGCUUGAGACCCUGUGGUAAACAUAACAAGAAAACCUGUCACUCUCUGAAAUAACUGUAUAUUAGCUGUAUAUUAAAUGAUUGUAUUGCACAUUAUGCACACAUUAACAACAUUACUGACAUUGUUAAAUUAAAAAAAAAAAAUCUAUUAAUAUGUCCUUGCAUUCUUACCUUCCUCUGUGAGGAAACCACACGAACCAAAUACACAUCAGUUCAGUGUUCUGACAGUGUGUGUUUGCAUGCACAAUCAUUUUUGUUGUUCUGUAUGUGUGUUACCUGGUCAUCCGUGCCUCCUGUGCAGCCUUUCUGUGUCUCUCCUUUUUCAAUUGCUGCACCUCCUCUGCCACCACCUUCACCCUCCUCUGCUCCUCCUCUGUUGCCUCCUCUCUCCCCAUCGUGCUUCCUUGAGUCCCUCUUUGAUCACCUGCUCUGCAAACCUCUUGAACCUGAUAUAAAAAAGCUCAGUUAAUGUUUAAAUGGUUUGAGAGGGGUGGUAUAUUCCAUAUAUAUGGUUUUGCAGAAUGCAUGUUCCCUUACCAAGAAGUUGGAAUGCAUUUGAAACACCUUUUGGCCUCUUUCAGUGUUUCCCACAGAAGUUUACUGUAAUACAGUAACAUUUAGUCUACAUUCUUUUUACAAUGUCAUAUUCUUAUAACAUGUACAUAUACAUAACAUUCCUCUGUUGUUUGACCUGCCUUUCUUUCCCCUUCACCUCUAUAUACAGCACAAUGCCCCCCAACCACCACACAUACACACACACCACAAAAAUAUAACACCCCAGCUUGUGUCUCAAAUUUGAUUGAUGACCCUAGCCUUGACCUUUUGACCCCACCGGAAGUACUCCGGAAGUGUGUAAUAUGAUCCAUAAGCAUGACACCUGUUGCGACACCUGUUGUGAAAAAAAAAGUUUUCUCCCUUAGAGGGAGGGGGGGGGUCUGUGGAGGGAGGAGAAUAAAAACAGAGAGGGCGGCGCACACUUUUCUAUGCGCAGACACAAGAUGGAUCCUUUCAUUCUGCACCCGUGCGUUCCUCUGUACUUGGACGGGGAAGAGAUCUGCUCUCCCGAGGCCGUAAGCAUGGGAGGCAGCAGCGGCGAGUGGUCUUCGUCUAUUAUCAGCGACACCCCCGUCACUGUCUACAGUAACAGAUCAGAAGCAACUGAUGCUCCGCGGAAAGAAGGGAGAAAUAAGAGCGUCUUCAUGUUCCGCAGCCAGAUACCGGCUCCAAGGAGCUUGCGGAGAGAAUGGCCUCUGCCUUUUGAGGGGUGUGGAAAGUGGGGCUACGUCUUCAAAUACAACAAGAGGCUAGUGAGAAUGAUGAAAUAGAGGUUGAUGAUCCUCCUGCCCACACUGCUGCUGAGAAUGAUGGAGAUUCCACCGUUGAAAUAGAGGUUGAUCCUCCUGCCCCCAUCGCUGCUGAGAAUGAUGAGGAUUCCUCCGAUGAAAUAGAGGUUGAUGAUCCUCUUCCUCGCCUCCCUGCUGAAAAAACUCCGGACAAACAGGACCCUCCUGUAGAGGAUGAUUCCUCCUCGGAUGAGGAAGAUUCCUCCGAUGAGGAUGAUAAUCCUCUCCACAUCAUUACCGAAGAAGAAGAAGAAGA